UGUGACACUUGUAUUUUUAUAUCUGAUUUUGUCAGCAAGUAGUUUUUAACCUUUUAAGACCAAUCAAACUCCUAAAAGGGGUACAGUAGUCUGGAAAACUUGGGAGCCACUGAUUUAGCUCCUCAGAAUGCCUGCUGAGCUGCCAUUAACCCUGUAGGUGUAUACAGUCACAAGAUAGCGAAGUUUCUGCAGGUAAAUACCUUAGGUGCCCACAUUUCUGCAAGUGCACAUGCCAGAGUCGUCCAAUCGCUGACAUUGCUGAACAGCGCAGGAGCUAAGGCCUGGCAGGAUUCACAAACUAGGCAUUCCCCAACCUGUCUUGUCUGUGGGACCUGCUACAGUAGGUGUACUCAUGGCAUGCCUAACCUGGACAAAAGACAACCAAGAAAGGGAUGCCCCUCCUCCCAGGUGAGUGCCCUAACCACUGGGCUAUUGAGCAUACGGGAUCACCACCUCCUUCUCUUCUUUGGCAUUUCCUCUGGGCUAGUUUAGGUGGCUCCCCACUCAUCUUGCUGACUUUUGUGAAUCCAAUUCUUCGGCACCUAAUACAUUGUAUAGGGAGCCUGGGCACCUAACUCAGGGCUGAGGAUUCCACCAGGCAUCAUGGUAGCUAAAAGUUACAUGCAGCAAUGGUAAGCCUACGUCCUUUUUGUGAAUAUCGCCUGUAGAUUCUAGGCUUGGUUCUGAAAUUUUGUGCUGUUGUUUUUGUUGGUACUUUUUGCCAACACUGAAUGAAGAUACGCUGGGCUGUGCAUGCAUGCUGUUAGUGCACAUGUUCACUGCAUACCUGCACAUAGCCUCAGUCACUGUACAGUUAAACAUCUACUCACAGGUGAGGAAGAUAUCAUUUUGCUGUUGUCUAGCCAUAAAGUGCAAAAGAAUAAUACUUUUUUAAAAUGAAUACAAAACACAAAAAAUCCAUACAAAUACUAUAUUAUUGUAUCUGAAGGUUUCACAGUUAGAUAUUAAAAGUCAGGCAAUAUGACAAUUAAAGCUGCAUGAGGUACUAUAAUGGGGUCUACAACCCCCAUACUGACCUUAGGCAGGAGGGGAAGGGGGACUCUCCCCUGUCUAUGGGCAAACAGCCCAACCACACCCAUGCACAGCUGCCAGUCAUGGAGGCAUGCACCCAUGGGGCAUAUCCUUUGCAGGUCACCACCACUGUUCCAUUGUUGACCGUCACGGAAUCACACUUAAAGCUGAACCUGGAAAGAGUCUCCCACAACUCCCUCUCCAAAUGCUUUCCUGAACUCCGCUGUGAGCUGCCUCUGUUCACAGCUCUUGAGUUUGCAAAGCAAGUGACCUUUUAUAUAAAGUCGCCCUGCUUAGCUCAGGUCAGCGCCACCCUUCUCCACCAGGGAGCGAUGAACCACUCAGAGACUUCAGACAGCUGGGUUGAUCAGCACUCCCAGGGUCAGAGCCUUGUGGUCCUUGUAAAGGAACCAGCAAACAGACCUGUCUUCUUUGCUUAUUCAGCUGCGGCACAGCCUUCAAGUCUAUACAUAGAGACCAAAUAAACAAACAACCCACAGAUGGGCCAAACACACCAUUCCCAUGUCCAGCUACCUCCAAGCACAGAGUCCACAGCUACAUCCUCUGAAACUCUCCUCUUAGCUGCCUUUGUUCGUGACAGAGAGUCACAAACUUUAAGGCCAGCUCAUCUAGUCUGACCUAUCACAGACCACCCAAUACCCAUACACUAAACAACAGAAACUAGACCCAAGUAUGACAGCCCAACACAGCUUCAGAGGAAAGUCGGGGAUGAGGGGGAGGAGAAUACCCUUUUUCUUAUUCGUAUACGAUGAAAGACAUAAUAAGUGCUGCUUCAUUGUGCUUUUUGAUUCACUAUCUAAAAACCUGAGAUGGUUAAAACGGAUAUUGGAAAAAGAAAAGGAGUACUUGUGGCACCUUAGAGACUAACAAAUUUAUUUGAGCA